UACGUAGGGUGCAAGCGUUAAUCGGAAUUACUGGGCGUAAAGCGUGCGUAGGCGGUUCGUUAAGUCCGUUGUGAAAGCCCUGGGCUCAACCUGGGAAUGGCAGUGGAUACUGGCGAGCUAGAGUGUGAUAGAGGAUGGUGGAAUUCCCGGUGUAGCGGUGAAAUGCGUAGAGAUCGGGAGGAACAUCAGAGGCGAAGGCGGCGAACUGGAUAGUAACUGACACUGAACUACGAAAGCGUGGGUAGCAAACAGG
rnacentral:rRNA from 1 species